UCUGGGGUACGGAUGGCCGCUUCUUUCAUCUUCUUUUGAAGGUGAAGGGGGAGGAAAGUCCGAACACCUCCCGCAAUAGCGGGGAAAUGGGUGGUUGGUAACGCCAACCGUCCGCUCCGCAAGGAGCGAGAUAGGGAAAGUGCCACAGAAACUAUACAGCAACGCCUCUGCUACAUGCAACGCUUAAGGUGAAAAGUGGCCGUAAAACGGCCUCUCCCGUAUGGCGACAUGCGGAAGUGGUAAACCCCACCCGGUGCAAGGCCGUGUCCGCCUUUGGCGGAAGUGCCGCUUGAGGCGCUAUGGCAACAUAGCGUCCAGAUAAAUGGUCAUCGAUAACAGAAUUCGGCUUAUAGUGCUCUGGAGGAA
rnacentral:RNase_P_RNA from 2 species